CUAGCGGCAGGCCUAACACAUGCAAGUCGAGGGGUAGAGGAAGCUUGCUUCCUUGAGACCGGCGCACGGGUGCGUAACGCGUAUGCAACCUACCUUUACAGGGGAAUAGCCCAGAGAAAUUUGGAUUAAUGCCCCAUGGUAUAAUCGGAUGGCAUCAUUUGAUUAUUAAAGUUCCAACGGUAAAAGAUGGGCAUGCGUCCUAUUAGCUAGAUGGUAAGGUAACGGCUUACCAUGGCUACGAUAGGUAGGGGUCCUGAGAGGGAGAUCCCCCCACACUGGUACUGAGACACGGACCAGACUCCUACGGGAGGCAGCAGUGAGGAAUAUUGGACAAUGGGCGCAAGCCUGAUCCAGCCAUGCCGCGUGCAGGAAGACGCAUCUAUGGUGUGUAAACUGCUUUUGUACGGGAAGAAACACUCCUACGUGUAGGAGCUUGACGGUACCGUAAGAAUAAGGAUCGGCUAACUCCGUG
rnacentral:rRNA from 1 species